UACGUAGGGUGCAAGCGUUAAUCGGAAUUACUGGGCGUAAAGCGUGCGCAGGCGGUUUUGUAAGUCUGACGUGAAAUCCCCGGGCUCAACCUGGGAAUUGCGUUGGAGACUGCAAGGCUAGAAUCUGGCAGAGGGGGGUGGAAUUCCGCGUGUAGCAGUGAAAUGCGUAGAGAUGCGGAGGAACACCGAUGGCGAAGGCAGCCCCCUGGGCUAGCACUGACGCUCAGGCACGAAAGCGUGGGGAGCAAACGGG
rnacentral:rRNA from 1 species